UCUUGGGAUCAGGAUUGAAAACAGAGGGUCGCCAUUGAGUUUGGGCUGAGCUGAGUUUUCUUUCUUGCUAUUUCAAAGGUAAUUCAUGGAGCAUAAAAGAUACUGAGUGUGUUAGCAGACAUGAGUAGGAUAAACAGUAGACCUGUGUGACAGUUCUCUAAGCAGGAUGUCUCUGUGUUUGCAGGUGUCCAGUGUGAGGUGCAGCUGGUGGAGUUCGGGGAGACAUGCUGCAGCCUGAAGGGUCCCUGAGACUCCUUGUUGCCUCUGGAUUCUCCUUCAGCGAUUACGACCUGAACCAGGUCCAUCAGGCUCCAGGAAAGCAGCAGGAAUCGGUUGGUCUUGUUAGAAAAAGAAACAAAGAUAACGGAUACACGACAGAAUACUCCACAUCUGUGAAAGAGAAAUUCACCAUUUCUAGAGAUGAUUCCAAAAGCACGGGGUAUCUGCACUCACAAAUUCGGAGAACCAAGAUCGCGGCCUUGUGUUACACUGAAAGAGACAAUGAGGAAAAAUCUGGAAUCCCAGACACAAACCUCCUUGCAGCGGCGCUCGCGGCCAGCAGGGGGCAGUCAGGACACACUGAAUUGAGGGUCAUCCAUAAAGCAGGUGCAAGGUGGCCUGGUGGGAGCCGUUAACAGCUGGUUUCCUGUCAUGGUCUGAAGCUUCCUCUCCUUCUAAUGUUUUUCCAGAGAACAAUUUUAAAUGUAUGAUCCUGUUCCUACCACUGAUUUCUCUGAAUUGGGAAAGUUUUAUGGGGAAACAAUAUGGGGACACAUUCUCACCUGCCUGAAAGUCCAUGAGGCCCUUAUCGAAGCAGACAUGAAUGCGGUCAGCAGGAUCGGAUCCUGAGGAAGCUCAGGGAACCUUGUGAGUCUUCCAAUCAGACUCAGCACAGAGAUCUCAGGUCCUCAAACUGGACAAAUUUGAGAACAUAGAUUGAAUCCAGUAGGCUGAUGAUGCAUGGGUGAUGUCCUCUACUCUAUGAUAUAAUUUGUAUCAGUCUUUUCUCAGAAGAACUCUUCACAACUGUCUUAGCAAUGGUGGGGAUCCUCUUUGACUGCAAAUUCGUGCCAUCUAUCCCAGGGUUUUAGUGAAAAUCUGUUUAUCUCCUUCCCCUUGAAAAUGGAUGCUAUGUGUUCUCUGGUUUUAAUGCCAGAGCUCAUCUCCUUGACCUGGCCCUAAGGCCAAGCAAUGACCCCUGGCAGCGACCUGGCCAGUGCUGAAGGAAGUUCUCAGUAUCCGUUGUCCAGGUGCCCGCUCUAGGGCAGAAAUUUCACAGUGAGAUAGCCUCGUGGUGAAAGGUUAUUCAUCUUGUUGCAGUUGGGAAGCAGAGAUGGGAUGAGUCGGUGACAGGCUUAUACCUUUCCAGGUCACGUUCCAGAGACCAGACCCUCAGGCUGGGCCCACCUCCCAACAUAAGGCUUUUGGGGACGUUUUAGAUCAAACCUGUAAUACACAUCUGCACAACACCUUCAAGUGACAUCUGGACCCCUGUUUAAUUUAAUCACAAGCCAGGAUGGUCCAGCCUGGUCCUACAUGAAACUGGCCAUUGUCAUGGUUAUUUUAAAAUUAAUCUUGGCCAAGCUGCUUUUAUUGGUAAAUUGGCUAAACUAUUAUUAUUUGUCUUCUGAUAAACACUAA